rnacentral:sRNA from 1 species
UCCUAUUUUUCAGAAAAGUUCCUUGCGAGAGCUUUUUUCUUAUGAUAUAUUUGUGACAACCAUUCAGUACUGGAUUACAUCUUAACUUAAGAGUUUGAAAGUGGUUUGGUAAUUACAGAGCACAAAAAGUGCACACGUUCUAGGAGGCAUUCACAUGCAAACAGGUAAAGUAAAAUGGUUUAACGCUGAAAAAGGUUUCGGAUUCAUCGAAGUUGAAGGUGGAGACGACGUAUUCGUACACUUCUCUGCAAUCCAAUCAGAAGGAUUCAAAUCACUUGACGAAGGUCAAGAAGUAGAAUUUGAAAUUGUUGACGGAGCUCGCGGACCACAAGCAGCUAACGUAACUAAAAAAUAAGUUCAGCCUAUAUAUAAAGACCCGGCAGUUGCUGCCGGGUCUUUUCU